rnacentral:rRNA from 1 species
UAGGGAAUAUUGGACAAUGGGUGAGAGCCUGAUCCAGCCAUGCCGCGUGCAGGAAGAAGGCGUUAUGCGUUGUAAACUGCUUUUUGCCAGGGGAUAAAAUGACCGUGCGCGGUUAAUUGAAGGUACCUGGUGAAUAAGCCACGGCUAACUACGUGCCAGCAGCCGCGGUAAUACGUAGGUGGCAAGCGUUGUCCGGAUUUAUUGGGUUUAAAGGGUGCGUAGGUGGCCCUGUAAGUCAGUGGUGAAAUAUCUCAGCUUAACUGAGAGGGUGCCAUUGAUACUGCAGGGCUUGAGUACAGAUGAGGUAGGCGGAAUUGACGGUGUAGCGGUGAAAUGCAUAGAUAUCGUCAAGAACACCGAUAGCGAAGGCAGCUUACCAAGUUGUAACUGACACUGAGGCACGAAAGUGUGGGGAUCAAACAGGAUUAGAUACCCCAGUAGUCCCUGAGCGGGCUGGCAAGGCGCAU